AUUGAACGCUGGCGGCAGGCCUAACACAUGCAAGUCGAGCGGAUGAAGGGAGCUUGCUCCUGGAUUCAGCGGCGGACGGGUGAGUAAUGCCUAGGAAUCUGCCUGGUAGGGGGGGAUAACGUCCGGAAACGGGCGCUAAUACCGCAUACGUCCUGAGGGAGAAAGUGGGGGAUCUUCGGACCGCACGCGAUCAGAUGAGCCUAGGUCGGAUUAGCUAGCUGGUGGGGUAAAGGCCUACCAAGGCGACGAUCCGUAACUGGUCUGAGAGGAUGAUCAGUCACACUGGAACUGAGACACGGUCCAGACUCCUACGGGAGGCAGCAGUGGGGAAUAUUGGACAAUGGGCGAAAGCCUGAUCCAGCCAUGCCGCGUGUGUGAAGAAGGUCUUCGGAUUGUAAAGCACUUUUAGUUGGGAGGAAGGGCAGUAAGUUAAUACCUUGCUGUUUUGACGUUACCAACAGAAUAAGCACCGGCUAACUUCGUG
rnacentral:rRNA from 1 species